rnacentral:rRNA from 1 species
UACGUAGGGGGCAAGCGUUGUCCGGAAUCAUUGGGCGUAAAGCGCGCGUAGGCGGCCCGAUAAGUCUGCUGUGAAAGUCCAGGGCUCAACCCUGGAAUGCCGGUGGAUACUGUCGGGCUAGAGUUCGGAAGAGGCAAGUGGAAUUCCUGGUGUAGCGGUGGAAUGCGCAGAUAUCAGGAGGAACACCAGUAGCGAAGGCGGCUCGCUGGGCCAUUCCUGACGCUGAGACGCGAAAGCUAGGGGAGCGAACAGG